rfam:Aedes aegypti strain Liverpool supercont1.113 genomic scaffold, whole genome shotgun sequence.
UGCCCAGCAACUCCUAUUCCUACCUCCUCGUGGUACUGUCCAGGGUACGAAUAACCUUAGGGAAGAUCCGAUAACCAGUGGAAACUCGUAUGUUGACAUGGAAGG